CCAGGGGGCCGGGCAGCCGCGUGCUUUUGCGCGAGGAAAGUCCGGGCUCCACGAAACGAGGGUGGCGGGUAACGCCCGCCCGGCGCAAGUCGAGGGAAAGUGCCACAGAGAGCAUACCGCCGAUGGCUCCAGUCCUUUUGGGACAGGAGAUCAGGCAAGGGUGAAAGGGUGCGGUAAGAGCGCACCGGGGCUUCGGUAACGCGGCCCGCAUGGCAAACCCCACCCGGAGCAAGGCCGAAUAGGGACGGCGCGCCGGAAACGGCAGGGGCGUUUCGCCUCCGAUCGUCCGGGUUGGCUGCUCGAGCUGCGGAGCAAUCCGCGGCCCAGACGAAUGGCUGCCGCCGCGGCGCUGAUGUGUUCAUAUCGGCCGCGGAACAGAACCCGGCUUACAGGCCCCCUGGCAUU
rnacentral:RNase_P_RNA from 1 species